GACGAACGCUGGCGGCGUGCUUAACACAUGCAAGUCGAACGGAAAGGCCCUGCUUUUGUGGGGUGCUCGAGUGGCGAACGGGUGAGUAACACGUGAGUAACCUGCCCUUGACUUUGGGAUAACUUCAGGAAACUGGGGCUAAUACCGGAUAGGAGCUCCUGCUGCAUGGUGGGGGUGGGAAAGUUUCGGCGGUUGGGGAUGGACUCGCGGCUUAUCAGCUUGUUGGUGGGGUAGUGGCUUACCAAGGCUUUGACGGGUAGCCGGCCUGAGAGGGUGACCGGCCACAUUGGGACUGAGAUACGGCCCAGACUCCUACGGGAGGCAGCAGUGGGGAAUAUUGCACAAUGGGCGGAAGUCUGAUGCAGCAACGCCGCGUGCGGGAUGACGGCCUUCGGGUUGUAAACCGCUUUCGCCUGUGACGAAGCGUGAGUGACGGUAAUGGGUAAAGAAGCACCGGCUAACUACGUG
rnacentral:rRNA from 1 species